rnacentral:snRNA from 1 species
GUGCUCGCUUCGGCAGCACAUAUACUAAAAUUGGAACGAUACAGAGAAGAUUAGCAUGGCCCCUGCCCAAGGAUGACACGCAAAUUCGUGAAGGCCAUAUACAA